rnacentral:rRNA from 1 species
GACGAACGCUGGCGGCGUGCUUAACACAUGCAAGUCGAACGGAAAGGCCCUGCUUGCAGGGUACUCGAGUGGCGAACGGGUGAGUAACACGUGGGUGAUCUGCCCUGCACUUCGGGAUAAGCCUGGGAAACUGGGUCUAAUACCGGAUAGGAGCCAUUUUUAGUGUGAUGGUUGGAAAGUUUUUUCGGUGUAGGAUGAGCUCGCGGCCUAUCAGCUUGUUGGUGGGGUAAUGGCCUACCAAGGCGGCGACGGGUAGCUGGCCUGAGAGGGUGGACGGCCACAUUGGGACUGAGAUACGGCACAGACUCCUACGGGAGGCAGCAGGGGGGAAGAUUGCACAAUGGGCGCAAGCCUGAUGCAGCGACGCCGCGUGGGGGAUGACGGCCUUCGGGUUGUAAACUCCUUUCGCUAGGGACGAAGCUUUUUGUGACGGUACCUAGAGAAGAAGCACCGGCUAACUACGUG